rnacentral:rRNA from 1 species
AGCGAACGCUGGCGGCAGGCCUAACACAUGCAAGUCGAACGAACCUUUCGGGGUUAGUGGCGGACGGGUGAGUAACACGUGGGAACGUGCCUUUAGGUUUGGAAUAACUCAGGGAAACUUGUGCUAAUACCGAAUGUGCCCUUCGGGGGAAAGAUUAAUCGCCUUUAGAGCGGCCCGCGUCUGAUUAGCUAGUUGGUUGAGGUAAUGGCUCACCAAGGCGACGAUCAGUAGCUGGUCUGAGAGGAUGAUCAGCCACAUUGGGACUGAGACACGGCCCAAACUCCUACGGGAGGCAGCAGUGGGGAAUCUUGCGCAAUGGGCGAAAGCCUGACGCAGCCAUGCCGCGUGAAUGAUGAAGGUCUUAGGAUUGUAAAAUUCUUUCACCGGGGACGAUAAUGACGGUACCCGGAGAAGAAGCCCCGGCUAACUUCGUG